AUUUGCAGGUUUGGCAUCGUCAACUUGGCAUUUAUAAGUGUGUAAUUGCAUGUAUGCCCACACUUUAGGUGUAGAAUUAAGGGUCUAUUUGAUUUAGCAGUUGUGGUCAGCUGUGAGUGGUCGAUAGUUGACUGUCAGUAGCCAUUGAAUUUCUAUUUGUUGUUAGUGGUUGCAAUUGAUUGUAAAGUAUUUGAUAAUACAACGGUUGGGGUUGCAGUCAAAUUAUAAAAUUACCAAUAAGGACAUUUUUAUUUUUGUUACAUUUUAUAUGACAUUUUAUUUAUCUUUUACAUAGAUGAAUCUUUCUUUUAAAUUAAAUUCAUAGUAAUAUAGGCAUCGGGAGGAUGCAUGAAACUAUAUUCAUAUUUUAAUAUUUCUUUUAAUUAUUUUCACAACUUCAAUAAGUUGAUAUGUAUUUGGCUACAUAAAUGUAUGUGUAUA
rnacentral:misc_RNA from 1 species